CAGCUCCCGGCCACCACUGUAGAGCAAUAGAAACUUACAUAGGACACCCGUACUCGCCGGCGAUGUACCAGCCCGCAGCACUGCAUGAAGAGGUGGCAGGACGCAGUCAGAGCGUGGCUUCACCAAGCUGCACCGUGCCUCAGCUUCUCGUCACGGCCACUGUCCAUUUCUUCCCACCUUCCACUCCCAGGUAAUUUGAGACCUCCUUUCAGGGGGCUGCCUCCCGGCAAACAUCUAGAAAAGGUAGCAUUUCUCUUCCUGACCGAGCUGUUGCUAACAUGGGGUUUUGCCUGUUCAGAGCGUCAGGGUUUCCGAGCGAGGCUUUUACAGUAGCCAUGCUCAACCCCAGAGAUUUUCAAACCUCGGAGCCUUGCAUUUCACCAGGCUGCAGUAUGCUGCCUCCGAAGGGAGGAGGCCUACUCUGGCCGCUGUGUAUGUGACUGUUUCUGAGAACGACGCUGCUCCUGCUGCUGUUUGGCUGUUACAUCGCCCUCCUCGCUACGCACAGCGCAGAGAGCCUCGCAAGAGCAUCCUUGAUUCACUGGUACCUCUGUAACAUUUUGGGCAUAUCUGAUUUGCUCUUUCUCCCUCCUCCCCUCCCACUGACAAAUGAGUGAGUCUAGACUUCAAUUCACUGUGGAUCCUUAGGACUCCAGAGCCACCCUCUACACCAUGAGACGCUUUGUCCUGCAGUAUGCAUUUCAAAGGGAUGGGGAGGAAGAUUGCUGGAGUAGCCUCAGGACCUGACUCACUCAACCACUGCGGCCGUACAGUUUCUCUUUCUGCUCACCAAAGACUCAUUUUCUACACUGAAGCAUGUUAAGUGAACGCAGCUCUGGCGGGCGAAUGUGAUCGGAGUCGGACCUAAUUAAUUGGUUGAAUAAUGCAUCAGCUAUGAUUUAGACACAACGAGCCAAAUGUCCCAUAAGCCCGAGAGCUUACAAGUCAAUACCCCAUGUCAACUAUUCUGUUUAUACCAUUCCCCAAGGACACGGCUUUCUGGCAGAGAGCAGAUCUUUAUAUUCUUUGUCUGAGGCCUUGUACGUGUCACACCACGAAAAAUGAAUCAUUAAGGCAUUAGGGACUCGGCUCUUAAUUUGGAUGAUAUCAACCAUUCUAAUAAGCAAUGAUUCAUAUAACCUUUCAGUAUACCACACACACUGACCCAGAUUGGCUCCAUAGUGCUUAAAAAGGCGCAUUAAUUAAUCGCACACCAUAGUCUAAGAUCAAUAACCAUUGUCAGGCUCCUUAGUCCCGUGGAAAAUGAGAGCUUACUAAUUCUCCACCUCUUGCUCAUGUUUUCUUUAGAGCCCGGUUAACCAGCUCCUGUAUUGCUGUUCCUUGUCUUAGGGUGUGACUGAGAACUGGGAAAGUGUCUCUGCUUUCGUUCAGAACUCUCAUAUGACUGGCAGAGGAACCGAGCAGUGUAAUUAAUAGCCUCGACUUAACGGAGCCCCCAAAUUCUAUGGCUAUAUCGCAUACUAACCAUCCACGUUUUUGAAAGCUCAAAGGGAAAAAUAUGACUAUGUAAAGAGGUGGUUCUCAACCUUUCUAACACUGCCACCCUUCAGUACAGCGCCUCAUGUGGUGGUGACUCUGAACCGUAAAAUUAUUUAGUUGUUACUUUAUAACUGUAAUUUUGCUACUGUUAUGAAUCAUAAUAUACAUAUCUAUUAUGUUGGAUAUCUGAUUUGCAACCCCCGUGAAAGGGUAGUUUGACAUCCCCCCUCCCCACGACUUGGUCGUGAUCCACAGGUUGAGAACCACUGACGUAGAGCUUUGAUUAUGCCAGAGACAUUUCUAAAUUAAACAGGAAAUAGACUUUUGAAUUAAGUCUUCUAGAGAAGGUUGACUUUUUUUUUUUUUUUGGACUCUACAAGACAUAUUCCUUGUACACAGAAUUUCAGUUCGAUUUUUUUUUUCUGAAGAAACUUUAAUAAGAAGUAUAGUAAUCUAGUAAACACAAAGUCAAGGUUUUUAUUAAAAUUUUUGUACAAUAUAAUUUGGCCUUUUUCUUCCUCUUCCCCCAACUGAGAGAGAGAGAGAGGGGGGGGGUUGAGAGAGAGAGAGAGAGAGAGAGAGAGAGAGAGAGAGGUGGGUGGGUGGGUAGGGAGGUGGGAAGGAUCAAGGGUUUUAAAAAGUGCCUUUAUCUCACAUUUCAUAAAAACAAAUAAAAAUGAAGUCAACAUUAGAAUAAGAUGAAAACAUUGGUGGAGCCUUCUCUCCUUGAGUUCAGAAUUCACUUUUUAUUAAGUAUGGUAUUUUUAAACACAGUAUGUGAGAGAUUCCCCAGUUCAUUAGAGAUUCCACCCACACUGUCAUUCAAGAACCCAAGAAAGAAUGUCACUGAGCGCUCUAAGUGGGCUCUGCAAACAUUUGCUGGGGACCUUCUAUCUUCUUGGCUCUGGGUUAACAUGCUAUGGAGAGGAAAUAAGAAAGUACAUUUAUCCGUGACUCCCUUUUCUUUCUUUCCAACAGGGAGUCCAUGCCACCAUCUUCCUUUAAGGAUUGACACAAGGCAGGUGCCACCACACCAAAAGCAAGUCUAGGUCUUACAACACAGCAGAGAGAAGAGAAGAAAGUGACAAGGGGCAACAGGAAUGCCAGGGGAAAUGAUGGGAACAGCUCCUAACUAUCUCUCCCAGGUACGCUCAGGGCUCUGUUAAGUCAGGGCUAUGUGGGAUCCUUUUACAAGCCAGGCAGUGCUGCACCCAGUGGACAAUAAGUAGAGAAAGAAUGCCAGUUAACUAGACAGUAGACGAAGCACAAAAGUUCACACGCAGACUAGAUAUGUGCCACAUCUGCUCUUGUAAAAUAUACAAGCAAAAAAUGUGUGUGGCCUACAAACUCCUGAUACACUAAGACAGCAUAGUUACACUUAAAGUACGUUUUCGGGGACUUGCAUUUUUAUUUCUUUUUUUUUUUUUUUUUUUUUGGUUCUUUUUUUCGGAGCUGGGGACCGAACCCAGGGCCUUGCGCUUCCUAGGUAAGCGCUCUACCACUGAGCUAAAUCCCCAGCCCCGCAUUUUUAUUUCUUAUCUUGGGUUGUUCUAUGUGUAAGCACAUGCAUGUGCCUCUCCAGCCCUUGGGCUUUUUUUUGAGACGGUUUCCAUCACACGGGGAUAUCCUCAGAUCUAUUAUGAGCUAUGGGGACAAGGAUGCCAUUGCAUCCCUAAUCCUCCUUGCCUCCACCUCCCAAGUUCUGGGGUUACAGGUCUACAUCACCGCGUCCGGUCCAAAGUAUUCAAACUAAAUUGCAUCCUCCCAGAAAUUCGGUCCUUCCUUACGUGUACAGUUUUAGCGUUGAGCAUAGACCAGGAGACAUAAAUUCACACUUGCGUCUUUGUUAUUCAUUUAUCAUUUCAUCCAUAGCAACCAGAAUAAACCUAGGGAGUUUGUGCUAAGGCAAACAGUUCAGCUUCCCUAGCAACUGGGGGUGGGGCAUUGGGGCAGUGCACGUGACUAGCUUCUGACCAAUGAGAAGAAGCAAAACUGACAUGUAUCAAUCCCAUGCCUGUCCUUAGGGGAGCGGGACCUUGCCUUCCUCUUGUACGUUCCUCUUUCCUGUUGCCCUAAGGUAGAUGUAAUGCUGAAGCGAUACAGAAAAACCUGCCACACAUUUCGGGGACACAGCAGCAGGUCUCCAGUCUCUCAUUGGAAGCCGCUGUUCCCUUUGGAGGUGGCUUGUCAUGGCGUGACAUUAUGAAGAGAAACAUGCCCCCAUAUUGUCUAAGAUACUCCUACUUUGACCCCAGUUAAAGAAAUGAAGCCUGUAUUUUAAAAAUACUUCUUUGUGUUACUGUUAAAGUGAAUAAUGAAUUCAUAGUGUCCAAGGAGCAUAGGCAGAGGAAGGGGCCGGUGGGGCAGAACAGCGAAGCAGGGAGAGGUACCUAAUUCCACAGCGGAGUUCAGAUUUUAUCCAGCAGAGCAGGAGAACGACGGGAGCUGUUAAAUGUGAAAAUAACUGCCUAUUUUUAUUAACAAGUAGGAAAAACAAUCCUCUCUAGAUAAUUUGGUCUAAAAAUACUGGACUAUUUUCCCCAAACAGAAACAGAUUCUACAGUAAGAAAUCUGAAACUGCUAAGCUUACGUAUUGGCAAUUAGUAAGGAGCUAAGAAGUAAUCCAAUCAAAUGAACUUAAUCAAAUAGAUUGUGAUUUACGGAGCUCACCACAAAGCUAAUGAAUGAUUCACUGAUGUAUUUUGUAAUAAUAUAUGGUGUAUUUACAUUAAAAUAUUGUAAUGCAGUAACGAAGAGCGAUUGAAGUAAUAAUGAAGAAUCACAGAUACAUAUGACAUCAUGUGUAUAUACAUAUGACAUCAAUGGCACGAAUUUUAAAAUCUAAGAGGUUCACCCGUAAGUGUUGCUUACGAAAAAUCAGGAUUGUUUGGUUGUUUCACAUUGUGUGUCACUCCUAGUGACAAGAGAGAAAGCACACAGCAAAUGAGACGGUGCACUUCCUCAGAAGAAUGACACUAGAGGGAUAAUAGCAGCUGCAAAAGGUGAUCUCCCAGCAUGCGAGAGAGACUGGAGAGGAAGCAGAAGGGGAGAUUGAACACCGCAGUGUUAGCUAUCCAGAGGGGCAAGAAGUCCUGGCGUGGAGGACAGGGAGAUGGCACGAACACCUGAGUUUGGAUUCUUACUCCUCACAUCAUGUGUUGCCAUGGUGACGCCCACUCUAACAGUAGUGUAGAAUAAGCAGAAGCAGAGAGAGGCGGAUCCUAGGGGUUUUCUGUCUAGCCAGUCUAGCCAAACUCAUAAGCACUCGAUUCAGUGAGAACCCCUGUUUCACCCAAAUACAAGGGAAAAGAUGGGGAAAUACAUCUAAUGUUGACCUCUGGCCUCAACAUACACAUGCACCGGUUAGCAUAUAUGAGCAUAGGCGGGUGAGCACGCCCAUGCACGCAUCUGUAUAGGCAUGCAUAUACCACACAUAGGCACACACAGAGAUUCGAGCAGGCGACUGCACAGCAAGGUGAUAACUGUUAUAGCAUAUUUCAAAAAUGUAGCACUUUGGAUGUUUUUACCCAAAACAAAUGAAAAAUAGCCAAGGAGACAGAUAAAGCUAACCUAAUCCAAUUAUCAUACAAGUUUCACGUUUCAAAAGAUCUGCCAGUAUAACAGGUAUACAUGUCCACAUAUUUGUUACACUCAUUUAUUUUUGUACAUAUAUGGGAACACAUAUGCCACAGAUCAUGUGCAGAAGCCAGAGGACAGCUUAUAGGACUCACAUCUGACCUUCCUGAUGUGGAUCCUGGCAAUGGAACUUAGGUCAUCCUGCCUAGUGGUAAAAAACUUGACCUCCUAACUUAUCUUACCAGUAACAGUUUCUAUAAUUCUAUACGUCAUUUUUACAUGUCAUACAUAAUUUUAUAAUCAGCUACAACUAGUUUAAUUUAAAGAUGCCCCAACAACACUACAACCUUGAGAUUCUUUCUGUAGUAGAACAGAGAUCCCUUAUCAGGAGUGACUCUGUUUGGGUGUUACAGCUCUUUCAGUGGCUGACGUUUCACACAGCCUCAGGGUCCUGAUAGCCUCUGUGCUCACUUCUCACCCACCCAUCAUAGUCCAGUGUUACAGCUAUACACAUUCAUAAAUGCAAAACAAUAAUUCAAAAAAAGACCCAGCAACAUUAAAAAAAAACCCAACAAUUAUCCUCAACAAUUAUCUGUCUGUUGAGUCAAUGUCGCCUGAGUGCUACUGGGCAUGCACAUGAAUCUGCAGGUACUGGUCUCACAAGAUAGGAAAUAUAACACCCAAGAUUUUUAAAUAGAGGGAGGUCAAGAUACAGGGGGGACAAUAUAUAUAUAUAUAUAUAUAUUUACAAAGUAGGAUGUUAGUGUAUGAAAGUAAAGAAUGUUACAAAACUAUAGAGCAUGUAGAUAGUCAUUUGCCAUUACUAAAGGAAGAAAAGUCUUUUGGGGCAGUGCUCUUUGCUCUAAGGUUGCCAAGAGGGAAGGAGUUAAAAAUACAGGGGUUUGAGCACAGGAAGAAGCCUCUACAAAUGUCUCUGUCUAGGAAGGGAUGGUUAAGUAGCCAAAGGAUCAAGUAAGAGAGGGAGAAGGACCAAAGCAGGUUUAGAAGGCAGGUGGUAAGCAUGUCACGAGCUCUGUGCCGGGAGUUUUAUCUUUGUACUAUGAGCAGUGGGAUGGUUUCAUUCAGACAGCCACAGGCAUGAGCAGACAGACAGCAUUUUUAACAUACACGUUGGUAGUGAGGUUGUAGCUGAAGGGAAAGCAGAGAGCACAGAGGAAACAACGUUGGAACAUCUAAGGCAAAGAUGAUGGUGUUACUUCUGGAGGACAUGGGGAGAGAGAGGUGAGAGAAGCAGAUGCGCUGAGAGGAUUAGAACAGGAAAGUAUGAUCAGAAACAACAGAGUGAAAAAAGCUUCAGUGUAAGUGUCAAAGAUGGUUACUUUUCUAUCUCCUUGUCUCUGCCCAUUUCCAUCCACGAUUGUGGUUCAGUCUGUUGGGACAAUGUGAUAUGCCUUCAUGGGCAGGUCAGCUCUCCUCUGCCCCUUGACUUGUUCUGACCAUUCUAUCUCACAUUAGAAUUCCAAGCAGGACUCUUACCAAGCCCCGUGUAUCUUUCUUAAUCUUUGUACUCUCUCUUCUGCUUAUUCUCUCUUCUUGCUUUUCUUCUCCUUCCCCUCCUCCUUUUGCUCCCCCACCCUCCCUCCUCUGGUGUGUUCAUGGAUACGUGAGCAUGUGUGUACAGUAGUACAUGAAGGACAGAGGCCAAUAUUGGGUAUCUUCUGCAAUUUUCUUCCACCUUGAUAUUUUGAAUCAGGGUCUUCCAUUAAACCUGCAGCUCACCAAUUUGACUAAACUGGGUGGCCAGCGAACCCCAGGAAUCCUACUGCCAUAGCCUCCCAAGCAUUAGGAUUCCAGGUAUGUAUCACCACCCUUGGCUUUUUACUGGGUGCAAAAAACCUGAAGUCAGGUCCUCAUACUUGCCUAACAAGCACUUUACCAUCUAAGCCAUCUCUUCAGCCUUAAUCUUUACCUCUGUAGCCACCAAAAAGGACAACUCUAUUUUACUCAGCCUCAAUGGAAAUAUGUAUCAUUCUUUUUCAGAUUUUCUUUUUUCUUUUUUUUGCCAAGACUUUCUGUAUUCCUUGAUCUUCUAGGUGUUUGUUUUUUUUCAGAUCAAUAAUGGUAUUUUUCAGUAAUAAGAUUGCACACAGAUAACAGUAGAAGUCAGCAGAAUAAGGAGGUAGUUAGGGGAGAUGAAGUCAUGCUUCCCAAACUACUGGUAGCCAUGGAAUGGGCACGUGGCUUCAGUAAGAUUUGGCCACUUCCAAUGUUUGAAACUGACUCAACAUUCUAAUUUACAAAGCUCUUACUUGAGAACCAAGUAACUGACACACACACACACACACACACACACACACACACACACACACACCCAUCAAAACAGGAAAACGUCGACGUUUUGGGUAAGCUUAUAUUUUAUAGAGGGUUGCAUCCAUAACUCCCUUUGGCUCCAUGCAGUCUUUGAGUCAUAAGUUGGAUACCUGGAGGACAGCCUUUAUGCUGCAGCUUAUGCUGCUGUAACACAUGCUACACUUGAGUGUGAUAAAAACUGAGCCAUCCUAAUUAUCCCCUCUUAUCUUGUAAUACAAUCACAUCUGAAGGAGUUCAGUCCUGCAAUGAAAGUCAUUUCAAUCCAAUGCCCUCCUUUUUCUGCCUAGCUCAGGGAAACUUGCAAAGAAUUUCAAAAUCUGCUUCAAUCCUUUUUCCUUUGAGUCUCUCAAAAUUGACCCGAAGCCAUGUCCCCACUUUGCAACACAAAGAAGUAAAACAUUUAAGCAUUAAAAUUCUCGCAGGUCCCCAACUGGCUCCCUCUGCUUUGUCUUUGGGUUUGUGGCUCAGUGUAUGUCUUUAAAAUUUCUCCAUAUCACUCAUUACAAAGAGUGUAUUCGAGGAAAAUAAGCCAACAAAGCUUCCAUUCAUCUCCCUUUCCUACUCUGGCUCAAACCCUCUCUACCCAGACUUCUGGUUGUCCCCAAGAGAAAUCAGGGCAACAAGGGAGCAUCACUACCUUCCCACUGCAGAAGGAACACUGUAUAAAGGCAGAAGUCCAUUAUGUUAAUCAGAAAGGUAAUGACGGGAAAGCAAGUCCAAGACCAUCCGCUGAUUAAAAUUCACCACGGCUCAUCCUUUUUUCCGAAAAUAUAUUUGACCCAUUCAUUUUACUCAUUACGGACGGAAAGAAAUACAACCUGCAUAUAGGAAAGAAAAUAUUGGUCUUUGGAUGGAAAAAGGCAUGUUGUUCAGAUAUAAUAUGUCGUGAGCAAAUCCAUGAUGACCACAGCAUAAAAUACUUCCAAGUGGUUAUUCUAAUUUCCUCUCUGAUUGGAAUGACCAAGAAAGAGAAAUGCAUAUUUCCCCUUCAGCUACCACAAAUAUGCUUGACAGAUUCUAAAAUUCUAACACACACACACACACACACACACACACACAGAGAGAGAGAGAGAGAGAGAGAGAGAGAGAGAGAGAAAGAGAGAGAGAGAGAGAAAGAGAGAAAGAGAGAGAAAGAGAGAGAGUAUGCUGUCCUGUCACUGACUCCACCAUAACAUUCAUUUACAAAAUUAGCAAGUUACCACUUCAUUUUCCUUAGUUUUACUUUUUGAGAUUAUGAUACCAUUUUCCCUUUCCUCUUCCUCAAACCAAAUCUACCCUUACAGACUUUUCUUGUUCUCUUUCAAAUCAUGGCCUCUUUUGUCAUUAACUGUUCAUCACACAUGCCUAUAUGUAUAUGCACAUAUAUUUCUAAAUACAUAAGUGCAAGCUACUCAAUCUGUAUAAUGUUACCUGAACGUAUGUUUGCAAGAAUAGCCAUUUGAUAUUGCAUAAUUAGUUGGUGUGUGUCCUAGUUAGGGUUGUUAUUGCUGUGAUAAAGCACUAAGACCAAAGCAACUUGGGGAGGAAAGGCUUUAUUUUGGCUUACGCUUCCACAUCACUGUUCAUCUUCUAAGGAAGUCAGGACAGGAACUCAAAAAAGGCAGGAACCUGGAGGCAGGAGCUGAUGCAGUGGUCAAGUAGUAGUGGCUUGCUCACCAUGGCUUUCUUAGCCUGCAUUCUUAUAAAUCCCAGACCACCUGACCAGAGUUAGCCUCACCCAUAAAGGGUUGGACCCUCCCACAUCAAUCACUAAUUAAGAAAAUGCCCUACAGGCUUGCUUAUCACUAAAUCUUAUGGAGGUAUUUUCUCGAUUGAGGCUCUCUUCUCUUCAGUGACUCUAGGAUGUGUCAAGUUGGCAUAAAGCUAGACAGCACAGCAUGCUUUUCCCUGCAAGAGACUUUAUCUCCUGCUCUCAAUGUUCCUUAAUUGCUUGUAGUUCUUUGUGUAGAGUUAAGGCCUUGUGGGGUUCCUCCACUCCACGUUGGCAUAUCUAUUGCUGUUGUCCUUGUUCAAUUCUUGGUUAGUCAUUCAUGUUGGUGAGACUUUAUGGAUGUAGCUUAUGUCAUGACUACGAGGCACAAUCUCACUGUAAUCCCCUCAUCCAUUGGCUCUGACAAUGCUACACAGCUUUGAUGCCUAUGAACCACAAAAUGACCUGCAUGCCAGUAUCAUUCUAAGUGUACAGUAGUGGCAUCAGACGGCAGUGGUAACUAAAAGCUAUCUAACUUGAUUUAUGGUCACUCAACAAAAGCUAAGUCAUGCCUGGUAUUGGAAACAGGCAACUACCCAGGGCUAAUGAAAUAAUAGAUCAGAGAGGAACCUACAACUACAAUCACUUUACUAAACCAGCACGAUCCCUAACUGUGCACUAAAUAUUUGCCUUUUUAGAUACCUACAAAUGUAGUUGUCACCCAACAACAAGGAAACUUCUCUUUGCAACACAUAGAGACCAGUGUCAACCAACUAUAACCAAUCAAAAUGCAAAGCUUAGUCACAAUGAAUAUAUCUACAAUCCAACUCCCAUACCAAAGGCCCAGGGAACAUCGUAGAAGAUGGGGUGGAAAGACUGUAAGAGACAAUUCAACACUUUUUUUUAGAGAUGUAUUUAUUUUAUGUAUAGGAGUACACUGUAGCUGUGUAUCUAUCUUCAGACACACCAGAAGAGGGUAACAGAUCCCACUACAGAUGGUUGUGAGCGACCAUGUGGUUGCUGGGGAUUGAACUCAGGCCCUCUCGAAGAGCAGCCAGUACUCUUAACCACUGAACCACCUCCCCAGACCCCAAAUUCAACACUUUUUGAAAUCCUUUGCUCAAAUAGAAAAGAGAAAGAAGAAUAACAGCUGACACAUGGAUUCCCACUAGGCUCCAGUCCGUAAAGUAGGCUAGAAACUUGACACAGGUGAUUCUUACAAUUCCUGUAGCCUAAGUUCUGAUUUACUUCUAGUUUAUAAAUGAAGGAACUUUGUCACAUUUCUGUCACUGUGACCAAUAACUGAGUAAAACAACCUAAAGGAAAUAAUUAUUUACUUUGGCUUAGAGUUUCAGAGGUUUUGGUCAAUCAUGGCAAGGAAAAUAUGAAGGCAGGGUAGCUCACAUCAUAGCAGAAGAGAGGGAAAGAGGAAGAGAGGGAGAAGGAGAAAAGUAGGAGAGAGUGAGAGGGGAAGAGGGAGAGAAAAAGAGGAGAGAAAACAGGGAGAUGGGGUCGGAGGUGGGGUUGGUCUUUGCUGGCUUCCUCCUCUCUCUCCCUUUAUCCCACCCAGAUCUCUAUGUAUGAGACAGGGCCUUCCACAUUCAAAGUAGGUCUUGUCUUCUUAGUUAAUUCUCCCUGGAAAUGCUACCGGACACACCCAAGGGAGCACUUUACUAAGUAAGCUUCAAAGCUCUCUCAAUGAAGUCAACAGUCAAGUUUCACCAGCACACCAAAGCAUCGUGAGUUAAUUGUUCAAAACCAGGCAGGGUAAGGUUUUCAGAAUUUCAAGUUAUUGUUUUUCUCCAUCUUGUUCUGUGCCAGAUAAAAAGUAAUUUUACAAGCCAACCCUGGAGGAGCACACAAUAGUUUAUUUACCCCCUAAUAAACUGGCAGCCACUUGCCCCUAUAGUGAACAGCGUCAACCAGCCUUUACAUGGCUUCUUUACUAGUAGUUUUCCAAACCAUCUUUGUGAUCUAUAAACACACACUAUCCAAACUGCUUUCUUUCCUUUUGUUGAAAAGUUUUACUCAUGAGAAAAUUCAUUCUAUAUCACUAGAUCCCUCCCUGUCUUGAGGUGUGGGAUUACUAUGUAGUCCUGGUUGGCCUGAAACUUAUUAUGUAAACCCAACUAGUACCAUUCUAUGAAAAUUAACUCAUUUCAUAACUAUAGGAGUUAUAGCAAGUGACACUGAUAUAACCCAUAUCUUCUCUCUCUCUCCCUUUCCAACGUUCUUCCUUCCUCUCACCAAACUUGAGAAACCAUUUAAGGAAAUUUGAAAGAAUAGUUUGUGUUAGUACUAAGGGUUGAGUUUGCGGUUUCCAUAUGCUACUCUACAGUGGGCUAAGUUCUCAUGAAUAAAUUUAAAAUAAUGUUUAAAUUAUAUAAAAGGAGUUACAAUAAAAGAACAACAAAGAUGGAGGCGGGCCACAGACAUAGAAAUAAAGACUGGAACACCCUGUGAUGACCAGUAUACUUCCUCCAGAUGAGCCGUGAAUCUUCCUGUAAGCUUUCUAGCAGGCAACUCAAAAAGGGAAACUCGGUCAGUUACAUAAUUUACUGGCCAUAAGCUUAAAAUAAACCCAAUGCUCAGCAGCGCCACACUGCUUGGCACUCACAGCAGACACCAAAUUCUCCUGAAGUCCCAUAAAAAGGAACAUCUUGUAAAGGCACAGGCAGUGUUCCUGACAGGCCUGACGGGAAAUGCCACAGCGGGCUUUAAAGGGCUGUUUCUCAGACUGACCUUCAGAGGACGAUAAGUGUCUCACACCAAAUGGCAUUUGGUAAGAUACUCAGGGGAGUGAGGCAGAAGGAGCCUCACGCCAUACUCACAGGUUUGGCAUGAGUCAAGUGUAAAGGGAAAGUUAGGACAAGAGUGGUGCAGAGGGUGAGCAUGAUUCCUUCAGUCCAGAAACUGUUACAAAGACUAACGUUGUUCACCCCUAGAUGGCAAAAGAAUAAUCAGAUCUCAGGUGAGUGAUUAGGCUAACACAGCACAGCUCCCCAGUUGUAGAGGUAGGAUUUAAAUGAGGUUGGAUGUCCUUCACCUAUUCCCUCUCUAGGACCCCAGGGUUUUCACCCUGAAGAGAGUCUUUGUUCUUAAAUUAAUUUCAUUGCCACUUUGAGGGGGGAAGGGAAUCAUCACUUGAGUCCUGUACCCAUCAAUUAUACGACCAGGUUCCAGGGGUGCUUCCAAUCCAAUGGCGACAUAGAUGGCCCUGGAUAAACUAAAUGGGCCAUAAGGGAUUGAUGUAUGUGUGUGCACUUGCUUGUGAGUGUAUGCACCUGUGUGCGUUAGUGGUGUGUGUGUGUGUGUGUGUGUGUGUGUGUGUGUGUGUGUGUGUGCACGCGCAUUAGGAAUGAGAAGGAGAUAGGAGAGAGUGGGACACAAAAUAAUCACUCGUUCAUUAUAUAUAUAUUAUGAAGUUAACAAAAUCAAUCAAUGGAAAAAGGAAAAAAAAUAAGGGAGAAAUAAAAAAUAAAAUAAAAAUAACCAACCCCAAAGAAUACUAUUACUUAUCAUGAGCUUCUGAUACAUAUUACAUGGGAAUGACCUUAUGACCAUUCAACAGGGACAUAUAACUGGCCGGAGGUGAUGAUGAAACAAAAAAACAGUUCAGGAGAAGCCUGAUCAUAUCAGCUUGCAAUGGUUGAAGCAAACGGAUCCUACCAUUCCCCUCUCUGUCCUUCCUCCUUGCACCCACUGGCCUUGAGAAGAUCCAGAGAGUGGGACAAACAGAAGGAGGUACCUUGAGCACCUUUGGAGUAAGCCAGACUUAGGGAAGAGGUGGGGCUUAUGCACAAUGGCACUGCACCUUUAAAUGAGGGCUGGAGACGGCACAGAAGGGCAGCUGUUUAGAAAGAAAGCCCAGCAAAAACUUGGUCUGCUUCUAAAUAUCCUUGAUCUUGCUCCUACGCAAAACUCCUAUGGUGGUCCCAAGUAGUUUGUCAUGCUAAAUCUUUGAUCUUAAUUCUGGCUAAAGGUAAAAAGAUUGGUUUUCCAUACCACUGCUUGGAAAUGCUCUAUAAAUCUAGAGGACUCAUUUCGAAAGUGAUAAGAUAAAAGACAGAGGAAAUUUACCCGAUCCAUCUCUGGUUAAGAGAGCUGUGAAGACAGUCUAACAUUAUUACCCAGUCUCUGUGGCACAGUGGGUCUUCAGGAUGGUAUUCUAGAGGAUCCCACGUAUAUGGGAGUUAAAAUGAAACAGAAGUGUAGGUGUGCAUGCCUUCAGUUUACAGAGGAGUGAGAUUAAAGACUGCUAAAUCUCUAUUAUUAGUGCAGAUGACCCAAUGUUCUUAGCCAGGCACCUAAAGAAAAAGAAAAUACGCAGGUAGGUAUUCAUACCUGCCAUGGUCAUUUCUCUGUAAAGUCUGCUUUGUAGAAGUCCAUUUACUCAAAAUGGAAGUCUUACAGUUCCUAUCCUAAUGUAAAACCAAGUAUUCUUGGAGUAAUUUAAAUACUGUUAGAAGAUUGAAGUCAUGCCUUGCUGGAUUACGCUGGGUCUGGUUCAGUAUGUAACUCACAUGUGUGGGAUACAGUGGAUAUUAUCACACACAUACACACACACACACACACACACACACACACACAAACACACACGACAGAUAGUUGAUGGACAGUUUAUGUCAAGGCAUGUGCUUGAGUACAAGAUAGUUUGACACAAUCCACACGUUCCCUAUUAGGAGUCCAUUUCUCAACAUAGCCUAGGAUGGCCUUGAACUCACCAUCUUCCUGUCCCUGGUUCCUCCACCCUGGCACAGAAAAUAUCCAUGACAGUCAAAGUUUUUUUGUUUAUAUAUUGCUUAGACUCUCAUGAGCAAAUAUUUCCCAUACUGCCACACACUUCAUACCGGAUUUCUCUUUCUAGUAGUCUUAAGUCUGAAAACUAACCCUUUUUAAAAUCAUUGCAUUUCCUUUUUCUUCAAAAUACCUUGUUAAUACAUAAUGAGGUCUCACUAACUGUUGUUUUGUCCGAUACAUUAUAAAACUCUUCGAUACUGAAAAGACAUAGCAGGGAGUCAGGCAGGAACUGAAAUACAAAUCACAGAGGAACACUGCUUACUGGCUCGCUCUCUGCCUCAGGUUAAACUAGUGUGUUCUUAGGCAGCCCAGCUCCACACGGUAGGAACAUAAGUGAAACCAUUUUGUGUGACUUAAAAGCUAUUUUGUAUGAUUUGGACUAAUGUGAUGCCUGUAAAAUGGGAGCUUGUCACCAGGCAACUCUGAUAAGAACUAGGCUUUAAAAGCAAGCUCCAGGCAGUCCUUGAUAUGCUAAGCAACUAACCCCUAGGUGGUGUUGAUAAGCUGGUGAACCAGCCUCAAGCUGUGAGCCCUGAUCCAUGCAAAGCCCAGUAAAUGAUGCAAACAUUGGGACUUUAGGAAUGGCCUUUAGGAUCACAGUGCUAGUACUCCAGAGACAGCUUCUCUGUCCUCUGUUGACACUCGUCAGCAAGAAGACUUGGGACUGUACAGUGUCCUGGGUUCAGCAACCAUUAAGCAUUCAGAGCUGUCACUCUGCUCACAGAUGCUGGCUUGUCAGUACUGGCUGGCCAGAGCUCUUAAGGAGUUUCUGGACUGCCAUUAGUGCUAUCCUCCCAUCCAGCUACAGCUGAAGGACGUCAUGGGAAUGUGUGGGAUGGGUGAGGUGUAGGGGGGUAGAGAAUGUGAGUUGAGCCUCAAGCUUUACCUUACAGGAAAACCUUCCCAAAUAGAACCCUACAGCAUGUCCUGUCCACGUUCCCCACUUGGUGAGAUGUCUGUUUCACUUUUAUAUUAGUAUGAUAUAAUAAGGAAUGCCUGUGUAAAUAACUGAGCUUACUCAAAACUGUGUAAUAAACCAAGCAUACUCAAAAGACAAAUCUUGUGUGGACAUCCUAAAUGCUUAGCACCUCACAGCCUAUGGGCCUAUGGGUGUAGGCCACGCAGAAUCUCUAUGUCAAAUGCCAAGGGAUUGUGCCACCCACAGUGGGCUGGGCCUCCCCACUUCACACAUCAAUCAAGAUGAGCUCUCACGGACUGACCAAUCUAAUUGAGGCUAUUUUUUCGUUGAGGUUCUCUCUUUCCUAGUGACACAAGGUUGUGCCUAGUUGACAAUAAAAACUAUCUGGGCCACAGAUACACAAGUGGACAAUGGAAACUCUCUGCUCCUGUGGUGCUAUGCAGGUAAAGAAAACAGGGACAUGUAUUUUUAAACACCGACUUGCAGUUUCGAUGUAUUUUGGGAAGAAGGGUGGGAAUGACAGACAGGAAGACUAAGUUCCAGUCUCAUGUAAGGCAUCUGUGGAAGGUAAGGAUAGACUAUGGUACAUGAAUAAGACAUGAGAUCAAGAGAAGAAAGCAUGAGACGAGUGCCAGAGGUGAGUGUACACCACUGUCAUAGAGGAACUGGUCAGUAAGGGAGUUGUGAUUUCAUCUACUCCAACGGCCAGGGUUGGAAUCGGUCAGUGUCAUUCCAUCACUACAGCAACAGGACUCUGUCUGUGAGUGAAAGCCAUGGGUGAGUUUGUGAAGGACAAACAACACUGACUGAUAUCUCAGCAGUGGCAUCAUGCAUGCUGUGCAGGGACUUCAAGAAGCUAAACACACCAGAAAGAUGGUGUGUUCGACUACCACAAUUGCUCAGUUAAGAGAGAAGGCCUUCAUCUAGGGUAUUUGUUGGAGAGAAGUCUUGAAAGAUGGUUUGAUUCUGAAUAUACUGUGAUGUCAGAAGUGAUAGGACCCAUAGAUUCAUACUGCACGAGACAAUAAUACAGCAAGUUGGGGCUUGAAAGGGGAUACAUGAGCUUAACAACUCUGUGUAUGUCAGCUCCACUUCCUAAAAGGGACCCUCAGGGAGAAGCUGACUUGAAAGGGAAACAAAAAUAAUUUGGGGAAAGUUAAUUUUGAAAAACUUCUGUAGAAUGUAUGGUCAGAUGUGGUGGUCCAUGCUUUGAAUUCCCAUACCCGCAGGGCAGAGACAGGCAGAACUUCAUGAGUUGGAGGCUAGCAUGGUCUAUGUGGUGAGUUUAAGCCAACCAGGACUACUUAGUGAGAUUCUAUCUUAAAAAAAUAUUAAGUUAAAAGUCUAUAGACUAUCAAUGCAGUGAGAUCAGUUAGAUAAUUUAUUGCAUGACUUCAGGUUUCAAAAGAAAGCUGUGGGCACAGAGGUGCAUGUGGAAGGCAGCACAGAGAUGUCUUUAAAACCAUGAGCCUUAGGGAAACUCUUAACAAGGAUGACCCAAGACUGGCUUCAGCUAACAAGUGACUGCAGCAGCCAAGAGUCUGGUAAGAUAUGGGAAAUGAUUUCUUUGGUUGAAAACCAAAGGGAAGUCAAAUGAGAUAUAGACCACAGAUUGAGUAUCAGAUCUCAACAUAUGGAUAUCAAUCAUGGUUGUAGAUGAGAGGAAUUCAAUGAGAGUUUGGGCCAAAAGUACCAAGAAUCACCAAGAUGGCUCAGCAGGUAAGGUGCUUGCUACCAAGCCUGAUGCUGGAGUUUGAUCCCCAGAACCCACAUGGUGGGAGGAGAGAACCAGCUCCUAAAAGUUGUCCUCUGACUCCACAUGCAAGCUACAGUACACAUGUACUAGCCUCCCCUGCCAGUAAGUAAAAUUAACAUUAAAAAAAUUUAAGUCUGUUGAAAUAGAGUCAACUGAUACAUUUUUUUUUUCCAGGAAGAUCUUACUUAGCAUACAAGGCAUGUCUGUAGAAAGAUAUGGAACCAAGCAGAGCUGUUACAGGUUAGAGUAAAAUAAGAGAUGCUUCAAGAGAGAUCACAGAUAAUUGUAGAAGAAAGUCCAUGGUGGUCCAGAGGGGAUGAGACACCAUGCACAUUGACUGAAUGAGUAGACUGACUUCAUUCAUCCACUGUAAUGUGAAGUCAUUCAUUCACUUCAAAGGAAGGCAGAGAAUCCUGACUUAAUGACAGGUGCUAAAAGGUCUUUUCAGAGGUGUCCUUUUCUCUGAUGAAGUCAGGAGAAAGGUCGUUAAAUGAGAGCAGAAAGAGGAAAGUGUUGGGCACCAGAGGUCAAGGAGGGAUUCUCAGGAAUGGUCUUGUAGAUGGGCUAGGCAAACUGAAAAGACAAAAGGUGGAUGAUAUUGAGUACAGUAUCAAAUACGUGUUAAUAUCUGCAUAAAAGUUCCCCUAUGCUGAUGUUUCCAACGUGACCUAUUAUGCUCAUGUGAUGGAGUUCAAGGGCCAAGUCAAUGAGUAUCAGAUUCAGCCUGGCUUGGUGUUUCUUGGGAACAAUAGCCAGAGGGAGAGGGGAGCAGACAGCUGAAUGUCUAAUACACCAAGGGGCCUAAGUAAGGAGAACACUGAUGAUCUGCUGGUGGUGAGGGAUGAGAAACUGGAAAAAAAGAGAAAGCAUAUGAGAUCACAGAACAGGAGGGAUUCUUAGAGCAAUAGCAGACACGUCAAAUUAGAUCAGUCUCUUCUGAGUUGACUAGAGAAGUCAACUCCUGGUAAAGAUGUUCCAGUGUGUCAGUCGUGAAGACACAUUGCCCAAGAGAACCAGCUGCAGGAGGAAGGACGUUCUUUGGUGCUGUGAGUCAGGAACUUCAGGAACUUCAGUGUAUAUGGGGUUGACCUGGUUGUGUUUGAGGAGGCCUGUAGUGAGGAGGCAGAUACGUUAUAGCAGAAGAGCAUAGUGGGAAAAAGAUGUGUUCUUUAGAGUGGACAGGAAUGAGAGAGAGAGAGAGAGAGAGAGAGAGAGAGAGAGAGAGAGAGAGAGAGAGAGAGAGAUUGAGUGAUAGAGUGUGUGAGAGACAGAGUCGGAGAGAGUGAGAGUCUCACUUUCUGCAGCUAGACCAACCGAUCUACAAUACAAUACUCACUACUUUCCUGUAGUCCCUUCAACAGUGAAGCCAUCAGAGGUUAGUGUAUUGAAAGUCAUUGUGACCCAAUACACUCUGGACAGUGCUGCUCAACACUCAGGUGCCAGUACAUGUUUCCCUGGGGACAUUUCACAUCCAAAGCAUGUUACCUACCAGUCGAACUCGUUGUUAAGAUGAAAUGGGUAAGAAACUCUCAUUUCCCACUGUCUGAUGUAGCCAUGUGAACAUGCAGUGAGGAAGUUUAGCUGGAAUAGGAAAACAUUUCUCCACUUUAAGAGCAGACAUGGAGGAAUCCAGGGGGAGUCCUCUGAUUAGGUGUGAAGAACUCCAGGUCUAGUAUCCCAGUCCAAUUAUUUCACACUCAGGCCACAGAAGCCUUUUAUUAUUCUCAUAUAAGAAGCACACAGCCACCAAGGCAAAAAAAUAAUUAAACUGCAAAUCUUCAUUCUUUGAAAAGUUGAACUCACUAUGCCUGAUACAAACACCUUCACCCCUCCAUAAAUAGCAUCUCACGUGUGUUUUGACGUCAACUUAGUUGAUUUUGGAGCAGCAGAAUUUUUCUACUGAAUUUCAAAGCUGAAGCUGAUAAGUCUUCCCAGAGCGGGGACAGAGUCCAAGGUAUCACUGGACAAAUGCUCCAACACUGAGCUAUAUCCCCUGCCCCCAAACUGACAAUUCGUUCUAUGUCACAUCUCUGAUCAAUUCAGUCAUUUGAAUAUAUAUGCUAAGCUCACAUGCUGAAACCUGACCAACACAGUAUUCAAAGGUAUGAUCUAUGUGGUGCUGACAUCACCAGGACUGGCCUCUCAAGAACUGAACUAGUGUGUUUAUGUGAGGGCCCCUAAAGAGCCCUCCAUGUACUACGCUUUGUAUGAGGUCACAGCAAUAUGCCACCCGUAAACCAGGAAAUGGGUCUUGAGAAGACACCAUAUCAGCUUUGAACUUGUACUUUCUUCCCAGGUUUCAUAUCUGUAAGAAACAUCAACUGUUUGUAAGUCCCAUUGUUAAUGACAUCUUAAACACUUCAACCUGGGUGCAAUAUGAGAAUAAAUUUAUUUUGGCAUUAUCAGUAAACAUGCCUAAAAUCCCAGUAUUGACUUUCUUGGAAGGUACCAUGGAGGAAUUCAUAAUUCCUAGCACUGAACAGUUUGCAUCCUACUGUUCAUGGCCAACAGGAGCAAUUCUAAGGAAAACUGGGGCAUGUAGUCUACUUCCCAGGCUGAAGACCUUUACUGACCCAGCCCUUGGCUGUGUUUGGAUUUACAUGGGUUCCUGCUCAGGUCACCAUGCAUGGAGAUGUUCCUUUUCUGGGAGGACAGAAAGAGGAUGGUUGUCCGCCGGUUGUGGUGGCACAGAGGCAGGAGGGUCACAAGGUCCAGGAUGGUGUCAGAAUGAGGAUGGGGACUCAGAGGCUGAGUCAAAGAAAAAGAUAUAACCACAAGGUGGCAGUAACACCCAGCCCUGGUGACUCCAAGGGCUUAUUAGUCCCUUAUUGCAGAGUUCUGUCUAUCCUUCCGACAGGAACAUUUCUGGGUUUCAAAAUUUUGAAUCGGAGUGGCCCCAUCCUUUAACUGGGGGGGGGAGGGCACGCCUAGCUAGUGGAGUUGGUCUCUGUAGGUUCUACCGACCCUUUGUUGGGUAUUUCGGCUAAAGUCAUCCCUGUUGGGUCCUGGGAGACUCUUGCUUCCCUGGCAGCUGGAACUUUCUAGUGGCUACCCUCAGUUCUCUACCCUCUCCCCACAAUUGCUACAUAUUUAUAUUCAGUUUCUUGACCCUCUGUAAAUGGAACAGAGACUGAAGGAAAGGCCACCCAGAGAUCGCCCCAUCUAGGGAUCCAUCCCAUCUACAGACACCAAACCCAUACACUAUUGUUGAUGCCAAGAAGAGCUUGCUGACAGGAGCCUGGUAUGACUGGUCCUGAGAGGCUCUACCAGCAUCUGACCAAUACAGAUGCAGAUACAGCCAACCAUCGGAGUAAGCCCAGGGGCCUCCUAUGGAAGAGCUAGGGGAAGGACUGAAGGACCUGAAGGGAUCCUCCAAGCCAACUAGCCCAAAGUCUACUUGUGUGGGCCACAUUUAAUAUAAUCAGGUAUGUUACAGGAGCUGGGUGUGAUGGUACACACAGGAAGCAGAAGGAAGUGAAUCAAGUUUCUGGACCAUUCAUAACUACAAGUUUGACAUCAGCCCAGACUAAAGGAGACCUUAACAUUGUACUCAUGAGUGGUAAAUGAAAUUCACAAGAGAUAAAGACAUACAUACAUACAUACAUACAUACAUACAUACAUACAGACAGACAGACAGACAUGUACCCAGGAGGUAGGGAGAAAGGAAGGAAGAAGGAAAUGGAGGAAGGAAGAAUAAAAAUAUUAAAAUGGGGGCUGGGGAGAUGGCUCAGUGGUUUAGAGCACUGACUGCUCUUCCAGAGGUCCUGAGUUCAAUUCCAGCAACCACAUGGUGGCUCACAACCAUCUGUAAUGGGAUCCAAUGCCCUCUUCUGGUGUGUCUGAAGACAGCUAUAGUGUACCUACUCAUAUAAAUAAAAUAAAUCUUUAAAAAAUAUUAAAAUGGGGUCUGAUUUCACAAGGACUUUUGAGCUAAUAGGAUUUCAGUUGAAUAAAGCUGAAUUGGAGAUGAAUACCGAGUCCACCUAUUACUAUUUAAUAAUGAAAUAAAUAGAAACAUCUGCAUGUAACCACACCCCUCAUAUAUUUUUUUAAACAAAUAAGAAACAAAACAGGUCCCUUCAUUGUUAGCAUGGUCCUAGCACUCUGGAGGCCGAAACAAGAGGAUGGUGGACUUUGGGCCACUCUGGGCUACCGAACGAUAUCUUGUCUCAACAUGAGAAAGUACAGGAGAAAGAAAUAGAAAAAUAAGGGUUCUCUGAUUCCUUCUUUCAAAAUUUUGAGGUUCUCCAAGAUUUUUGUUGAGGAUGGUGGUUUCUUACCGGUAAGCACUUUACAAUGUUUCUUUUACUUUCCACAACAAUUCUUGAAGUUAGUACUUUUGUGCCCAUUUAUCAGAGGGCACUGAUAUAUCGUAUAGCCCUGAGUCUCACUAAUAUGCUAAUUUCAUACAGACAGAGGAGCUGAGCCAGACUUCAAUCCUAAGCAGUCUAAGGAGAGCUGGAGAGUUAAAUCCUGCUGUAGAUCGAAUCUUAACUAUCCCUGAAAGGUCCCCGUGCUUAGGACUUGGACAACAUGCUGGUACUGUUUGAAAGUGGUAAGACCUUUAGGAGGGGCCUAAUAAAAGGCAUUUAGGUCACUGGAGGUGUACGUGCAAGGGUUCUUGGGGUCUUAUUCCUUUCGUUAUAUAGUAAAGAAAUAUUUUAAAAAAUCCCAUUGUGGAUUUUCUUCCCUGCCUUCGACUAUUUAUGCUCCCGGAUGAAAGACACACACAGACUAAUACUUUUAAGUAUGUCUUAAGCAGCACAAUAACUGGGCAAUUGUCUACCCUCCAUGUUGUUACAAUCUAUUUUCCUAUUGAUAACAUCGAAUUAUUACUAUUUACUGUGUUUUAUCUGAGCUGUUCUUAGUUCUAAUUGGCCAGCCCACAUGGCCACGUUUUCUUUCCUCUUACCCCAUGGUGGCUUUCUCCCUUCAGUAUAUUCUAUUUUUAUCUUGUCGGGCCUUCCCCUGUUAUGUCUGAUCUACAUUACUUUGGAAGGGGUCCAGAGGCUAUGUGUGUGUGUCUUUCAUCCAUAAACAUAAGUGGUCUAAGGUGGGAAGAAACCCCACCCUAGGAUUUUUAAAAUAGUUUUUACGACAUCAUUCCAUUUCAUUCUUAUCUACUUUUUUCAUACUUAUCACUGCCUGGCAAAGAGAGCAAGUUUGCAAGUUUGCUUGCCUUAUGACCGUAUGAUAACUUGUCUGAUCACAGGUCCCAAAGUGAGCAGAGUCAACCGGUCACAGCUCAGAACUUGCUUGCGUGCGUGCGUGCGUGCGUGCGUGCGUGUGUGUGUGUGUGUGUGUGUGUGACUGUGUGUGUGUGUAUGACUCUGUGUGUGUGUGUAUGACUGUGUGUGUGGCUAUGUGUCUGUGUGUGUGUGUGUGUGCGUGUAUGGCUGUGUGUGUGGGGGGCUGUGUAUGUGUGUGUGUGUGUAUAUGGCUGUGUGUGUGUCUCUCUGUGUGUGUCUGUGUGUGUGUCUGGCUGUGUGUGUAUGACUGUGUGUGUGUGGCUGUGUGUGUGUAUAUGGCUCUGUGUGUGUGUGUGUAUGUGUGUGUAUGGCUCUGUGUGUGUCUGUGUGUGUGUCUGUGUGUGUGUAUGACUGUGUGUGUGGCUAUGUGUCUGUGUGUGUGUGUAUGUGU